AGGGUGUUCUAGUUUCAGAGAGGGUUUUCUAGUUUCAGGUUUGUUCCACUAUGCCUGACGUCUCCCAUCACUUCUUUUGAAGUCUUUGAUCAUGUUGUGAACUAAAUCAGCGCCAGUCCAACAGUCAUUGGACCUUCCAUCGGAACGGCUGCCUUACACAGACAGACCACACACUUCUUAGGCUCUUGAAUCUGGAACGGCUGCCUUGCACAGACAAAC